rnacentral:lncRNA from 1 species
GUUAAUUUGAUCCCAGGUGUGUCCCAUUAGCUUCAGUGUAUUUAAAAUGUGUUCUGCCCCUCAUUUCCCGUCCGCUGUUAAAUGUCAUUUUGUCUUCUUUGUGAUUUCCCGUGUUCCCCGCUUUGAGUUCGUUAAAGUCUUUGGAAUUUAUGUUACUCCUUGUCUCCUCGCUCCUUCGUACCCAUGCUCCCCGUGUGAAUCGAGACAGAACAGCGGACCAAAACAGUAUGAGGACCGCCCUGCUGUCAAGCUCCCUCAAGCCCGCCGGCCGCGGCUCCCACAAGCCCGCCAGCCGCCCCAGAGCUCGCUCCUGUGUUGGCUCCAGCCCCAGAUCUCGCUCAGUGAGGGCUCCUGUUCCCGAGUUUAGCCCACGGAGGGCUCCAGUCCCAGAAUCCAAUCCAGAGUGCCCACCAGUGCCUGCUCCUCCAGAACACCCUCAGGGCUUCAGCCAUAGAGGCGGGGGUGGGGGCCACGGCCUCGGAGGCUGCUCUGCCAUGGCCUCCUGGACUGUCUGAUCCUCCAUGGCCUCCUGAGUUCCCUACUCUGCCAUGACCUCCUGGACUGCAUGCUCCGCCAUGGCUCCCCGAGCUGCCUGAUCCUCCAUGGUGCCCCGAACGGGUAUCACUCUGAGGGACCUCCAGUGCGCCCACCCCCCCCUCGCCAUUGGAUGUUGUGUGUUCCGGGAGGGGGGAGUUGUAUUGGAUUUCCACUUUAAUUAAAUUUUAGUCUCAUCUGACCUCAGAAUCUUCAAGGUACAUGUUGGCAAAGCCUUAAUGUUGUAUGUUUGACAGGGUUGUUUGCCAUUCAGAAUUUAUUUGAGUGUCAAUUUCAAGUUCCUGAAUAUAAAAUAAAUGUGAAUUCCGGUAGCAAAUAUGAUUCAGAAUAUGAAUUCAUUUUUUUUGUCAUAGAAUUUGUCACAAAUUGCAUUUUUACAUUUUAUACCACCCCACACACACACACACACACACACACACACAGUGUCAGACUCUGUUCCAUGUGUUGUGUUUUCCUCCCCCACGUGCUCUUUGUUUUUAUGCCCAUAUUUGGUUUUACCGUUCCUGUCCUCAUUUGUUCCAGGUGUUCCUUGUUUAGUUUAUUUGAUCCCAUGUGUGUCCCAUUAGUUUCUGUGUAUUUAAAGUGUGUUCUGCCCCUCGUUUCCCGUCCGCUGUUAAAUGUCAUUUGGUCUUCUCUGUGAUUUCCC